GAUGAAGAACGUAGCGAAAUGCGAUAAGUAAUGUGAAUUGCAGAAUUCCGUGAAUCAUCGAAUCUUUGAACGCACAUUGCGCCCCCUGGUAUUCCGGGGGGCAUGCCUGUCCGAGCGUCAUUGCAACCCUCAAGCGCGGCUUGUGUGUUGGGCCCUCGUCCCCCGUGGACGUGCCCGAAAUGCAGUGGCGGCGUCGUGUUCCGGUGCCCGAGCGUAUGGGGCUUUGUCACCCGCUCUUGAGGCCGGCCGGCUCCGGCCCAUCAACCAUCGAGGACCCGUUCCUCAACCAGGUUGACCUCGGAUCAGGUAGGGAUACCCGCUGAACUUAAGCAUAUCAAUAAGCGGAGGA
rnacentral:misc_RNA from 1 species